GACAGAGGAUGCAAGCGUUAUCCGGAAUGAUUGGGCGUAAAGCGUCUGUAGGUGGCUUUUUAAGUCCGCCGUCAAAUCCCAGGGCUCAACCCUGGACAGGCGGUGGAAACUACCCAAGCUGGAGUACGGUAGGGGCAGGAGGGAAUUUCCGGUGGAGCGGUGAAAUGCGUAGAUAUGCGGAGGAACACCGAUGGCGAAGGCAAUCCCCUGGACCUGUACUGACGCUCAUGCACGAAAGCGUGGGGAGCAAACAGG
rnacentral:rRNA from 1 species